GACGAACCGUGCGAACGUUGUUCGGAAUCACUGGGCUUAAAGGGCGCGUAGGCGGCUUGGCAAGUCAGGGGUGAAAUCUUUCGGCCCAACCGGAAAAGUGCCUCUGAUACUGCCGAGCUCGAGGGAGGUAGGGGCAGACGGAACUUCCGGUGGAGCGGUGAAAUGCGUUGAUAUCGGAAGGAACGCCGGUGGCGAAAGCGGUCUGCUGGCCCUCCACUGACGCUGAGGCGCGAAAGCCAGGGGAGCAAACGGG
rnacentral:rRNA from 1 species